CGUAGGCGGUCUGUUAAGUCCGAUGUCAAAGCCCGGGGCUCAACCCCGGAUCGGCGUUGGAUACUGGCAGGCUAGACGGCUGGAGAGGCGAGUGGAAUUACCAGUGUAGCGGUGGAAUGCGUAGAUACUGGUAGGAACACCCAUUGCGAAGGCAGCUCGCUGGACAGAUCGUGACGCUGAGGCGCGAAAGUGUGGGGAGCAAACC
rnacentral:rRNA from 1 species